rnacentral:rRNA from 1 species
UACGUAGGAGGCGAGCGUUGUCCGGAAUUACUGGGGGGAAAGCGCGUGUAGGCGGGAGGUCAAGUCUGCUGGGAAAUCGCCCGGCGCAACUGGGCGGGGUCGGUGGAAACUGGUCACCUGGAGGACGGUAGAGGCGAGUGGAAUUCCCGGUGUAGUGGUGAAAUGCGUAGAGAUCGGGAGGAACACCAGUGGCGAAGGCGGCUCGCUGGGCCGGACCUGACGCUGAGACGCGAAGGCGUGGGGAGCGAACGGG